UAGUCCACGCUGUAAACGAUGAUCACUCGUUGCUGGCGAUACACUGUCAGUGACUAAGCGAAAGUGUUAAGUGAUCCACCUGGGGAGUACGAUCGCAAGGUUGAAACUCAAAGGAAUUGACGGGGGCCCGCACAAGCGGUGGAGCAUGUGGUUUAAUUCGAUGAUACGCGAGGAACCUUACCAAGGCUUAAAUGUAGAACGACAGUUUGGGAAACCAUUCUUUCUUCGGACGGACUACAAGGUGCUGCAUGGUUGUCGUCAGCUCGUGCUGUGAAGUGUCGGGUUAAGUCCCAUAACGAGCGCAACCCCUAUUUCUAGUUGCCAGCGAGUAAUGUCGGGGACUCUAGAGAAACUGCCGGUGCAAACCGCGAGGAAGGUGGGGAUGACGUCAAAUCAUCACGGCCCUUACGUCUUGGGCUACACACGUGCUACAAUGGUAGGUACAGAGGGACGCCAUGUGGUGACACAGAGCAAAUCUCAAAAGCCUAUCUCAGUUCGGAGUUG
rnacentral:rRNA from 1 species